CCCUUAGAUGUCCUGGGCCGCACGCGCGCUACACUGAGUGUCUGAGAUACGAGUCUGCCUGGUCCGGCAAGGUCUAGGUAAUCGCUAAAAGACACAUCAUGCUGGGGAUAGAUUAUUGCAAAUAUUAAUCUUGAACGAGGAAUUCCUAGUAAGCGCAAGUCAACAGCUUGCGUUGAUUACGUCCCUGCCCUUUGUACACACCGCCCGUCGCUACUACUGAUUGGAUGUUUAAGCGAGGUUCUCGAACUGCUAGCGACUUAGCUUCGGUGAGGUCGCAGUGCGGGAAGUGAACCUAGCUUUGGUGUCUAGAGGAAGUAAAAGUCGUAACA
rnacentral:rRNA from 1 species